CCCACCUUUAUGAAUAUUUUUUUCUGUAUGUAUUAUGAUAUUUUUUAUUUUAUUUUUAUUCAAUGUAAAAGAAAAUGACAAUAGAUUCCGAACAAAAGUCAAUAUUGUAUUAUUGAAAUAUAUGAGGUUAGUUUCUUUUUGUAUUUCAUGGAAGUUGUUGUUUUCUUAUUAUCCGUAACCUUAAUUUUAGGCAUGGUUUUAUAGUUUUUCCAUUUCCUCUAAGGAUUGAUUGGAUAAUCGGUCAUACUGUAUUCAUGCAUCAAUUCCCUCUUAUAGUGUAUUCACGCAUGAUAUUCUAACAAAUUCAAUACGCCAGCAAAUCCAUCUCAGUUACUGAAUUAUGAACGAAUGUUCUUAUGUAGAUCAUGACAAUGCAUCGGCGAUGCCAAGUUUUCAUGGGUGAAAGCAAUGAUUCCUCCAGAUUGCUGUUUUCAGUGAAAGCAAUGAUUCCUUGCAUACAACAAAAAAGAAAGUGAGUGUGACUUUAGGGUAGAUGUUGUGAGUGGCAAAAGAUCAUGCCAUGUAUAUGCAGGUGAAUCUCCCACAGUUGUUGCCUCGAUGCAGAAUAAUGGUGACUUCAAUGUCAAUGUCUAUCGCAACGUGGACUAUGCAUUCAUAGUGGCACUACUUAUGAUCGUUAAAGACAUCAACUUCUUUUACGAUGGAACGUGGAAUUUUGCAAAGGCAAUAACGCCAGUGGCAUUGGGCAUCAUGAUGAACUAAAGGACUUCCCUAUUAAUUUUACUCGGAUUGUGGAAAGAAAACAAAGAUUGGCUUGAUUCAAGUUUUCAUGUAGAACACAUUGGGUUUGGUUUUCGACCAUUUUCAUGUUAAUGCGUGUUUCCAAAGUGUAUGAAAUUAGGUUUUACUGUUUUUAGUUUUUUAAGUUACCAAAUCAGUAACUUUAGUCAUGUAAUUUUUUAUUUUAUGUUAAAUUGCUUAGAUUUAAACUAUAAAUAAAGUAUGGUAGGUUCCAACAUA